UUUGGAUGAAGCUGGGGUGUGUGUGUGUGUCAAAGAUGGAUGCGAGGUUUCAGUAAAGAAGCUGACAAGAUAGCUCCAUGGUUUGGUUAACAGGAAGGUUUUUAUUAUGCAUGAGAGAGAGAACGUAUCCAGAAGCAGAGAGAAGGAGAAGCAGAUUUGAACAUGGUUAGGGCUGUCUUUGAGAGGAAGGUGAACAGCAAGGGAAGAGAGAAUAGUGAAAGCGGGGGCGGGGGGGGGGCGUAGAGAGACUAUCAGAGCCAUAGAGAGAGCAAGGGAGGAGGAGCCAAAGGGGAGGAGCUACAGGGUGCUGUGCGGGGAGAAUAGUGGGAGCUGAGGCAUGGGGCACAGGGUUUUAUAAAGAGAGCAUGAUCUAAGGGAUGCAGUGUUGUUGUGUCUUAACAAUUUAGCUUGGUUCUAACAUUGUCUACUGGAGAUGGCAUCAGAACCAACAAAUUCUGGAGUGUCUCAGGAUUGCCCCGCCCCCACCUCCGCUUCAGACCGACUGCAGAUACUUCAGUUCGGUGCAGCUCCUGAUGGUACAGGGACCAGUUUACAGCUGGCUCCAAGCAUCAGCUGACAAGAGGAUCCAACCUAGCAUUGUCACGGAUCUUAAAUGAAGCCAACACGUUAGCAAACCAGGUGGUUUGGAGUUGGGCCGUAUCAGAUGCCCAGAGGAAGGACACAAAUCACCAUGCCUCUGUAACCAGCAUGCCACAGGACCUGAGGAGAGUACAGCUAGCAUUAUUUUAAAGAUACAGACAACAUCGUCUCUGGGAAUGGCUGAGCAGGGAACGUGCCUGCCACACAUGCAUGAAGACGUGAGUUUGUAUACCCAGAGUAUACAUACAAAAUGCCUGUAACUCUAGCACUGGGGGCAACGAGGCAUGGAAAAGCAACAGCAGAUGCCUGAAGCUCACUGGUCAGUCAGCCUGGCUGAAGCUAAGAGCUUUAGAUUCAUCGAGAAAAGCAGCAAGAAGCUGAUGGACUUCAGGACCAGGGUGAUUCACAAACACAAGAGCCUUCUGGUUAAUUCCACAGGGAGAGACAAACGGGUGUUCUCAGGAGUUGCUCUGAAUGCGGUAUAUUUACUUUGGAAAGUGUGAUUCUCAAUCCCUCUUUCUGUCUCUCUCUCUCUCUGUCUCUCUGUCUCUCUGUCUCUCUGUCUCUCUCUGUCUCUCUCUCUCUCUCUCUCUCUCUCACACACACACACACACACACACACACACACACACUGAAUCUUGAGAUUCAUUUGCAAACUGAGUGUGAGCCUCACUCUCCUUGUCAACUUGAUUUUGAUGUAACUUACCAAUGCCUCUGUAACAGCGAAGACAGGUAAAGGAAGAAUAAGCAUUUCUGCACAUGGGCAAACUGGCAUUUAGAUCCCCAGUACCUGUGUAAAGGCCAGGCAGCAUGGUGGCCAGCCGUUAGUCUUACUCUUAAGACGGGGAGACAGGAGAUUCCUGGAGUAAGCUAGCUAGCUUGCUGAACUGCCAGUCUCUAGUGGGAAACCUUGCCUCAAAAUGUAAGGUGACAAGUGGUUGAGAAAGACACUUGACAUCAACCCCUGGUCUACCUAGGCACCUGUACACAUGUCACACACACACACACACACACACACACACACACACACCCCACAAGGGAAAAAUUUUGAUAGUAGUGGAAAAAUUGAAGGAAUGUGUGUAAUGUCAAAAAAUGGAUACAACUCAAAUAUGAAUUCAUUACUUACAGAGCAUUUGUUCUAUAUAUCUCCCUUCUAGCAAGUAGUUUUGUGAUAGCAAACAAAUUAAAAUUUAUUGCCCAUGAAUCCUAAGGAGGGAUUAAAAAGCUUGCUUGUAAGUUACCCAGGGCUGUAAUUGGACCUGAGGGGGCAAUCAGGGGCGGACACGGGCGUCAGAGUCCCCUGUCAAGUUGACCGGCUGGUCCUGCAUGUCAGCAUCUCCCUCUGCUGCAGCUGUACACGGAAUACCCUCAUGAAGUGGAAAACCACGAGUGCCAGCAGUUCUUCGGAUCAGCGCCUGUGGUUGACUUUCUUGGUUCUAAUCAAAGGUCUCAGACGUCUUACUGGCCCGUGUCAGGUGCCUGUCGUCCUUGAUCUCUGAGUGUGGUCCGGGAAGUAAGAGCAUAUGUACAAACAAAAGUGGUUGUGGCCGUGUGGGAAGUGGGAGGAGGGGGCACUGGUAUUUAUCAAGAGAGCUUUGGAGGCCGGUAAUAGCACAGAUGACUCUAAUUAUUAAGAAUCCUAGCACAAUUAAAUUUUAUCUAAUUGAUGUAUUUAAUUAAGUAUACUUUACUUCAACUGUAAUUUCUAACUGAUCGGGACCCACUCACCCUGCAGCUGGCUCCCCCCAUCACGGGUUCUUUUUAGGUCUGUUUACACUACAAGUUUAUAUAUUCCAAAUUUUAAAAUUAUUUUUCUUUUUAGAAAUUUAGAAAUAAUUUUCUUUUUAAAAAUCUAAUCACAUUGUUUCCAAACUACCAUACCUCAUAUUUGUUUUGAUGUUGAUUUUAUUGGCUGGGGCUUCCAGAAUCAUAGGGUAAUUAUGUGUUAUUAUGAAGGCCAUGUAGACACAGACUGUAGCUGGGUAGCAUUAGGAGGCAGGAGGGAGAGAGCACUGCUGGGCAGUUAUAGAACUUUCUGUUGGAGUCAGAAGUGAAUCUACAGACCUUAGGCUUCUUUGCCUUGGCGCCAGUCUAUGGAAUACAGGCUACCUGGCCUUUAAGAUGGUGAAACAGUUUUCCGUGGGCUGAUGAUCCCACAGCUACCCACCUUUGCCUUGCAUCCUAGAUUUAGACUAUGGCACAGCAGAAGGCUAUCCAUUCUGGUUGACGCCAGACAGUUGUUUUUCUACUUUGAGUGCCAGGGAUAUUAAAACACGCUAAUUUGACUGUAUAUGCCUCCCAGUGGGAUAUCCCUCUGAACACACACACACACACACACACACACACACACACACACACACAUAUCCUCCCUAAUCCCCCAAAUACCUCAAAUUAUGCUUUUUAAUUAUUUUUUA